CGAACGCUGGCGGCGUGCCUAAUACAUGCAAGUCGUACGCUUCUUUUUCCACCGGAGCUUGCUCCACCGGAAAAAGAAGAGUGGCGAACGGGUGAGUAACACGUGGGUAACCUGCCCAUCAGAAGGGGAUAACACUUGGAAACAGGUGCUAAUACCGUAUAACAAUCGAAACCGCAUGGUUUUGAUUUGAAAGGCGCUUUCGGGUGUCGCUGAUGGAUGGACCCGCGGUGCAUUAGCUAGUUGGUGAGGUAACGGCUCACCAAGGCCACGAUGCAUAGCCGACCUGAGAGGGUGAUCGGCCACAUUGGGACUGAGACACGGCCCAAACUCCUACGGGAGGCAGCAGUAGGGAAUCUUCGGCAAUGGACGAAAGUCUGACCGAGCAACGCCGCGUGAGUGAAGAAGGUUUUCGGAUCGUAAA
rnacentral:rRNA from 1 species